AAAAUUCACAAUUUUUUAUUUUGUUCUUUUAUUUUUUUAUUGUUCCUUGUGGAAAAAUGAAAAAAAUUUGUUUGAUAAAUAUAUGGAAAAUUUCUGAUUUUUAGAUACUGACCUGAAACUAACGGAAUAAUUGGACCAAAUCUCUCCUGGAUCAGCCGGUGCACUUUUCAUCAACAUUGACGGAUUUUGUCAAGGCUACUGACCUGAAGCUAAUGGACGAAUUGGACCAACUCUUUACGAAAUCAGCGGUAAGUAUCCUCAAGUGCCUGAAAAUGCUACUGACCUGAAGCUAAUGGACGAAUUGGACCAAAUCUUUCCGAGAUCAGCGUUUUUCUGUUUUCGUUUAAGGGUACACUAUUGACAAAAAUUUACAAAUUUUGUCAAGGCUACUGUAAUGAAGCUAAUUGGACCAAAUUAUGCACGGAAUACACUGAAAUAGAAGCUAAAAAUAUUUUUAAAUUUAUAAUUUUCAAAUAUGUUACAAAGUUUUAUUUAAUAAACUUACAAUUACUGUAA